GAGAGAGAGAGAGAGAGAGAGAGAGAGAGAGAGAGAGCACUGCUCUAGUGAUUCCACUAAGUCAAGGAACAUUAGGUGGUUGAGUUUAGCUUGUGAUAUAUUAUUUAAAUCAGUAAUGUAAAAUAAUAGGUCUAUUAAAGAUUAAUUAUAAGGAAUACUACUGGAAACUAGCUCUUUCUGACAGAAUAAAAUAUUAUAGAGGAACUCUUGUUAUCUGGCAUCCAAGGCAUUGAGUUUUGUUUUGUUGAGCAUUGAGAUGCACCCAACAUUUUCAACCUUUACUUAAACCUCUAACACUUCAGCUUAUUCUGUUAAAAUGUCCUUUCCAUCGGACCCCUCUGAUCAUGAUAUUAUUUCUGUAUACAUACUGUCCUAUCACUAAGCAGGGGUGUCUGCUAAGUGGUAACAUUCUGAUUUUGACUGGAAUUGCAUUAUUUCUGUGUCAGAGAUCCAUUUCUCUGUACAGAGUACAAAACAGAGGUGAUUGUGUCUGGCAUGGAGGCAUACAUUCCACACACUUUCUCUAACCUCAGAGCUCAUAAAUUAUGGUUCAGUUUAGCUUGUUUUCCUGCUUUCCAGCAUGGAGGCAAUUCACGAAGGGUACAUUAGUCUUCCAUCUCUUGAAACUGAUGCCCUUUACAUUUCUGCCCAAAAUCAUGCCAGAUAUAUUCUUAGAUUUGCUGAAAACUCUUGCAUCAUUGAAAAAUGUUAUAAUCUAACCAGAUCAUCUUAUUGUUUCUGGCACCUAGCCAAAAGUAUCUCCAACUUUUUUCUUUUUCAUUUUUCAGAUGGCUCCACCACCAUCUCUAUCUCUGAACUUGAACUCUUUUAAAACUUUGCUGACAACUCUACACUGGAUCAUUCUUUGGUUGUUACUCAUUUCCUCCCUCCGACAAUGUUGUCUCUGAAAUAGAAAUUUGAAAAAAUGUUAUUUAUGCCCUCUCUGGUUUUGGUCCUCCGAAGGCUUAUGACCCUAAUGGAGUCUCAUAUUGUUCUCUAUGCAGAUCAAAUCCUCAAUGACACUAUUCAUCUUUCUAUCUAUCUAUCUAUUUGACUCCUAAUCCUAAAAACAAAUGAAAGGGAUGGCAAAGAAAAGUCCAAUUAUUUUUGUCCUUGCAUAUGCUCCUUGCAUGGGCUAAUCCUCUUGUUUUCCCCUUGUCCCUUCUCCCAGAGCCAGGACCACAGAAAGACAAAACCCUCCUGCACCUCACUACACACAUGACCAGCUGCUUACUUACCCUUACCUCUGGUGCUGACUUCAUGACCAGCCAGAUCUUGUAUUGCAGGGAAUACUCAAGGGUGUGCCACAUAAGCUUGAGGAGGGGCUGCUUUGGCGUGUUCUCCCUCCUGUCUGUCAAGGUCCUGCUGUCAAUGCCUAGUGAAGGGAAAUCUCAUUACUGAACAGUCUCCUGGCAGCUUCGGAACCUUACAACUACCCCAGGUCACAAGCUUUCAAAGGGCUUGUGAGAAUCGACAGGAGAAACGGGCAGGCACUGGGACGGAGUGAAAGACACAGCCACUCACAGGCAGUGAUGCAUACGUGUUUGAUGAAAACAAGCUGAUGUGCAUGUAUUGUUUUCAAUAAAAUCUCAAACAUACAGAAUUAUCAACAUACAAGUCACUCAAGUGAAAACCAUUAUUAAAACUGUGUAGUGUGAAUUGUUUCAAAUUAAGAGAAUAGUAAGUAACAUUUGUUUAAAAUGAGCGUAGAACAGUCAAGCCUUCCAGUGGUGUGUGGCAUUCUGGCAGGGCAGGUAAAGGUGUCUGAAUGGCUUUCCUGUCUUGGGCCAUGACUUCCAACACAUUAUUGUGUUCUGGUACAAUGCCAUAAUGCAGUGUGAGGUCAUGACUGAUACAAUAAAUUCAUGCUAAAAUACUCUGCAGUGUGGUUUGUAUUUGCACAGGUCUGAAGAGGCAAUACACGGGAUAGAAUGUUCCCCUAACAUGGCAGGAUUGCUCUCACCUCUGUGUAACCUGUAACCUGAACAGCUGCUAGAUGUGCUACCGACAUCACAGUUUCCUCGUUCCAUAAUCGCUAAUAGAUCAUAUUUUGUUAUUUUAUAAUACUUGCAGUCUGUCUAGAUAGACUAGGAUAAUAAACAGGGAUACCUAAGAGAUGGAACAUAACCAGAAUGUGGAAACGUGAAAAUACCAGCAAAGAGAUGCUUUGACAUUUCAUUUCAUAACUGCAACAAGUUUUACUGAUCAUAUCUGGCCAACACCAGACCAUUUUGACCUGGAAAGUCUUAACCAGGCUUUGACAUAUUACUAUAUGCCUGUUCUUUAAAUGUAACACCCAUUAAACAGGAAUAAC